GCCAAAUCUAGCUCGCCCACACACACAAAACCACCUAACCAACCAAACAAACCAUUUGCCAAAGUUAGUAAAUGCGAUUGAGCCCUAUCAACGACGCAAUAGUAAAAAGUACCGCAAGGGAAAGAUGAAAUACCCGCAACUAUAAAGCAACACAAAGCAAGGAUCAGCCCCUGUACCUUUUGCAUCAUGGUCUAGCAAGAACCCCCGGGCAAAGAGACACUAUAGUCCGCCACCCCGAAAUCGAAUGAGCUACUUCUGGGCAACCAACAGACUCAACCCGUCUCUGUAGCAAAAGAGUGGGACGACCCAGAAGUAGUGGCGAAAAACCUAACGAACUCGAUGAUAGCUGGUUACCUGAUAAAAGAAUCUUAGUUCUACUUCAAGACCAAAACACACUAACUAGUUAAACCUUCUGACUUGAAAGAUACUCAAUAGGGGUACAGCUCUAUUGAGUCAGACUACACCCUGCCGCAGAGAACAACCUAGACCCUGCAAUCAGUGGGCCCCAAAGCAGCCACCACAAAACUACAGCGUCAUAGCCACACCACAAAAAUACCACCCCACACUCCCAAUUCCUGCAACCCUACCAGGUAAUUCUAUAGACAUAUAGAAGAACUUAUGCUAGAAUUAGUAACAAGAACACCCACGCCCUUCUCUGCGCACACCUGUAACUCAGCAAUAGAACACCUACUGACAAUUAACAGACCAAAAAAGGACUAAUGUCACACCAACAAGACAAAAAUUUUACCCACUGUUAACCCAACACAGGCUUGCCCUACAAGAAAGAUUGAACAUUAAAGAAGGAACUCGGCAAACCCCAGGCCCCAACUGUUUACCAAAAACAUAGCCUUUAGCAACAAGAGUAUUAAAGGUCCCGCCUGCCCAGUGACUAACCACUUAAACGGCCGCGGUAUCCUAACCGUGCAAAGGUAGCGUAAUCACUUGCCCCCUAAAUAGGGACUAGUAUGAACGGCUAAAUGAGGGCCUAACUGUCUCCUUUGAUUAAUCAGUGAAAUUGAUCCACCAGUACAAAAGCUGGUAUAAGCACAUAAGACGAGAAGACCCCGUGGAGCUUAAAAUACUUAUGCCAAACCGACAUCCGCCGAUAAAAAUGCCAUAACAUUUUCAGUUGGGGCGACUACGGAAACAAACCAAACUUCCAAGCCAGGGGCCUCUCCCCCCUCCCCCAGACAAACAUGUCAAAUCACCACACGACCCAGAACUGCUCUGAGUGACGAAUCAAGUUACCCCGGGGAUAACAGCGCCAUCUUCUUCAAGAGUCCCCAUCGACAAGAAGGUUUACGACCUCGAUGUUGGAUCAGGACACCCUAAUGGUGCAGCCGCUAUUAAAGGUUCGUUUGUUCAACGAUUAAAGUCCUACGCGAUCUGAGUUCAGACCGGAGAAAUCCAGGUCGGUUUCUAUCUAUGUUAAAUCUUCCUUAGUACGAAAGGACCAGGAAGAUGGGACCUAUCUUAAUAAGAAGCCCCUCAAGCAUAGUUGACAAAAACUUAAUCUAAACCGAGACAACAACUCGAGCCCCAGACCAGGGCUCU
rnacentral:rRNA from 1 species